rnacentral:rRNA from 1 species
AUUGAACGCUGGCGGCAGGCCUAACACAUGCAAGUCGAGCGGAGUGGCGGACGGGUGAGUAAUGCCUAGGAAUCUGCCUGGUAGUGGGGGAUCACGUCCGGAAACGGGCGCUAAUAUCGUAUAAUAUCAGAUGAGCCUAGGUCGCUUUCGCUAGUUGGUGGGGUAAAGGCCUACCAAGGCGACGAUCCGUAACUGGUCUGAGAGGAUGAUCAGUCACACGUGAACUGAUACACGGUCCAGACUCCUACGGGAGGCAGCAGUGGGGAAUAUUGGACAAUGGGCGAAAGCCUGAUCCAGCCAUGCCGCGUGUGUGAGGAAGGUCGUCGGAUUGUAAGGCACUGUAAGUUGGGAGGCGUUACCAACAGAAUAAGCACCGGCUAACUUCGUGCCAGCAGCCGCGGUAAUAC